rnacentral:rRNA from 1 species
GGGGAAUUUUGGACAAUGGGCGCAAGCCUGAUCCAGCCAUUCCGCGUGAGUGAAGAAGGCCUUCGGGUUGUAAAGCACUUUCGGACGGAACGAAAUCGCGCGGGUGAAUAUCCCGCGUGGAUGACGGUACCGUAAGAAGAAGCACCGGCUAACUACGUGCCAGCAGCCGCGGUAAUACGUAGGGUGCGAGCGUUAAUCGGAAUUACUGGGCGUAAAGUGUGCGCAGGCGGCGCCGCAUGUCGAGUGUGAAAGCCCCGGGCUUAACUUGGGAAUUGCGCUCGAAACUACGGUGCUGGAGUGUGGCAGAGGAAGGUGGAAUUCCACGUGUAGCGGUGAAAUGCGUAGAGAUGUGGAGGAACACCGAUGGCGAAGGCAGCCUUCUGGGCCAACACUGACGCUCAUGCACGAAAGCGUGGGGAGCAAA